rnacentral:rRNA from 1 species
CAAGUCGAGCGGGGAAAGGUAGCUUGCUACCUGACCUAGCGGCGGACGGGUGAGUAAUGCUUAGGAAUCUGCCUAUUAGUGGGGGACAACAUUCCGAAAGGAAUGCUAAUACCGCAUACGUCCUACGGGGGAAAGCAGGGGAUCUUCGGACCUUGCGCUAAUAGAUGAGCCUAAGUCGGAUUAGCUAGUUGGUGGGGUAAAGGCCUACCAAGGCGACGAUCUGUAGCGGGUCUGAGAGGAUGAUCCGCCACACUGGGACUGAGACACGGCCCAGACUCCUACGGGAGGCAGCAGUGGGGAAUAUUGGACAAUGGGCGCAAGCCUGAUCCAGCCAUGCCGCGUGUGUGAAGAAGGCCUUUUGGUUGUAAAGCACUUUAAGCGAGGAGGAGGCUCCUUUAGUUAAUACCUAAAGUGAGUGGACGUUACUCGCAGAAUAAGCACCGGCUAACUCUGUGCCAGCAGCCGCGGUAAUACAGAGGGUGCGAGCGUUAAUCGGAUUUACUGGGCGUAAAGCGUGCGUAGGCGGCUUUUUAAGUCGGAUGUGAAAUCCCUGAGCUUAACUUAGGAAUUGCAUUCGAUACUGGAGAGCUAGAGUAUGGGAGAGGAUGGUAGAAUUCCAGGUGUAGCGGUGAAAUGCGUAGAGAUCUGGAGGAAUACCGAUGGCGAAGGCAGCCAUCUGGCCUAAUACUGACGCUGAGGUACGAAAGCAUGGGGAGCAAACAGGAUUAGAUACCCUGGUAGUCCAUGCCGUAAACGAUGUCUACUAGCCGUUGGGGCCUUUGAGGCUUUAGUGGCGCAGCUAACGCGAUAAG